rnacentral:rRNA from 1 species
CCAGCAGCCGCGGUAAUUCCAGCUCCCAUAGCGUAUAUUAAUGUUGUUGUGGUCAAAAAGCUCGUAGUUGGAUCUCGGCAGGCAGCCGGGCGGUCUGCAUCGCUGCAGCCACUGCUCCGGUCGUUUGGUUACAUGCCUGUGUAUUUGUUUGCUGGUUUGCCUGGCUGGUGAUCUUGAUCGGUCGUCGGCCCAGGGUCAGCAGUUUUACUUUGAAAAAAUUAGGGUGCUCAAAGCAGGCUUUUGAAGCUUGAAUAUUCGUGCAUGGAAUAAUGGAAUAGGAGGUCGUUCCUAUUUUGUUGGUUUUCGGGAACCAACUUAAUGAUUAAAAGGGACUGCUUGGGGGC